UACAGAGGGUGCAAGCGUUAAUCGGAAUUACUGGGCGUAAAGCGUGCGUAGACGGUUAUGUAAGUCAGAUGUGAAAGCCCCGGGCUUAACCUGGGAAUGGCAUUUGAGACUGCAUAGCUAGGGUGCGGAAGAGGGAAGCGGAAGUUUCCGGUGUAGCGGUGAAAUGCGUAGAUAUCGGAAGGAACACCAGUGGCGAAAGCGGCUUCCUGGUCCAGCACCGACGUUCAGGCACGAAAGCGUGGGGAGCAAACAGG
rnacentral:rRNA from 1 species